CGGACUAAUGCUUACAACUAUGGACUCGAUAAAAAGACAAAACGAGCGAUAACGAUCGAUACCAGAGCCACUGCGUAUUCUGUGCUGGCGAUGCUAUUUCGGACGGCAAUCAGAACACCACCGCCAGAGGUUUUUUCACUAUUGAAGGCAUUUCUAUCACAACGGUAUACACGAAAGGCGGAAGAAAACAAUGAACCAUCCAGUACAGUUGCAUCCAGGUUUUCGUGUCAUUGAUACUAUAGGACUAGUGACGGUCAAAUUUGGUUCCAACUCAGGAUCGUUAUUACUACUGUGUAUUGGCAAGGGGUGUAAGAAAGUUUUCUGGAUUGGACUCAUUAUCUCUGAUAUUUUGAAAUGUGUUUGUUCGAGGUUCACUUAUGAAUUCGCGGAAAUAAA